rnacentral:misc_RNA from 1 species
AAGUCGUAACAAGGUUUCCGUAGGUGAACCUGCGGAAGGAUCAUUACUGGGUUUUGAGUUUGUAUGAACUCGUCCACCCACCCUUUGUCAUUUGCAAAUGAUCUCUUCGGUCGUUUGUUCACUCAAACGACCGGCAUUGCAAAACUCUUUGUUGUAAAAAUGAGGUCUGUCUUUUUUUUAUUGAAUUAAAAAAACUUUCAACAACGGAUCUCUUGGUUCUG